CCGGCACGGGUGAGUAACGCGUAUGCAACUUGCCUAUCAGAGGGGGACGAACCGGCGAAAGUCGGACUAAUACCGCAUGAAGCAGGGGCCCCGCAUGGGGAUAUUUGCUAAAGAUUCAUCGCUGAUAGAUAGGCAUGCGUUCCAUUAGGCAGUUGGCGGGGUAACGGCCCACCAAACCGACGAUGGAUAGGGGUUCUGAGAGGAAGGUCCCCCACAUUGGUACUGAGACACGGACCAA
rnacentral:rRNA from 1 species